rnacentral:rRNA from 1 species
UGGAGCAUGUGGUUUAAUUCGAUGCAACGCGAAGAACCUUACCACUUCUUGACAUGGAGAUUAGAUCCUUCUUAACAGAAGGGCGCAGUUCGGCUGGAUCUCGCACAGGUGCUGCAUGGCUGUCGUCAGCUCGUGUCGUGAGAUGUUGGGUUAAGUCCCGCAACGAGCGUAACCCUCAUCCUUAGUUGCCAGCGGGUUAAGCCGGGCACUUUAAGGAGACUGCCAGUGGUAAACUGGAGGAAGGUGGGGAUGAUGUCAAGUCAGCACGGCCCUUAUGGGGUGGGCUACACACGUGCUACAAUGGUGACUACAAUAGGUUGCAACGCCG